UACGUAGGGGGCAAGCGUUGUCCGGAAUCAUUGGGCGUAAAGCGUGCGCAGGCGGUUAUUUAAGUCAGAGGUGAAAUCCCCGGGCUCAACCUGGGAACUGCCUUUGUGACUGUAUAGCUUGAGUGCGGCAGAGGGGGAUGGAAUUCCGCGUGUAGCAGUGAAAUGCGUAGAUAUGCGGAGGAACACCGAUGGCGAAGGCAAUCCCCUGGGCCUGCACUGACGCUCAUGCACGAAAGCGUGGGGAGCAAACAGG
rnacentral:rRNA from 1 species